AGCAGCCGCGGUAAUUCCAGCUCCAAUAGCGUAUAUUAAAGUUGUUGCAGUUAAAAAAGCUCGUAGUUGAAUUUCGGGAUCAAUAUGUUGGUCGUGCCUCGGUACGUACUAGCUUAUUGGUUUCUCCUUUCUGAAGAACUAUGAUGUCAUUUAUUUGGUGUCGUGGGGAAUCAGGACUGUUACUUUGAAAAAAUUAGAGUGUUUAAAGCAGGCUCACGCUUGAAUACAUUAGCAUGGAAUAAUGAAAUAGGACGUUUGAUUCUAUUUUGUUGGUUUCUAGGAUCGACGUAAUGAUUAAUAGGGAUAGUUGGGGGCAUUAGUAUUCAAUUGUCAGAGGUGAAAUUCUUGGAUUUAUUGAAGACUAACUACUGCGAAAGCAUUUGCCAAGGAUGUUUUCAUUAAUCAAGAACGAAAGUUAGGGGAUCGAAGACGAUCAGAUACCGUCGUAGUCUUAACCAUAAACUAUGCCGACUAGGGAUCGGAGAUGUUAAUUUUUUU
rnacentral:misc_RNA from 1 species